AUUGAACGCUGGCGGCAGGCCUAACACAUGCAAGUCGAGCGGAUGAAGAGAGCUUGCUCUCUGAUUUAGCGGCGGACGGGUGAGUAAUGCCUAGGAAUCUGCCUGGUAGUGGGGGAUAACGUUCCGAAAGGAACGCUAAUACCGCAUACGUCCUACGGGAGAAAGCAGGGGACCUUCGGGCCUUGCGCUAUCAGAUGAGCCUAGGUCGGAUUAGCUAGUUGGCGAGGUAAUGGCUCACCAAGGCUACGAUCCGUAACUGGUCUGAGAGGGUGAUCAGUCACACUGGAACUGAGACACGGUCCAGACUCCUACGGGAGGCAGCAGUGGGGAAUAUUGGACAAUGGGCGAAAGCCUGAUCCAGCCAUGCCGCGUGUGUGAAGAAGGUCUUCGGAUUGUAAAGCACUUUAAGUUGGGAGGAAGGGCAGUAAGCUAAUAUCUUGCUGUUUUGACGUUACCGACAGAAUAAGCACCGGCUAACUUCGUGCCAGCCGCCGCCGUAAUAC
rnacentral:rRNA from 1 species